rnacentral:rRNA from 1 species
GUCCAUGGCCACGCUACCCUGAGCAUCCUGGUCUUAUCUCAGAAACUAAGCAGGGUUGGGCCUGGUGAGUAUCUGGAUGGGCUACUUCCUGGGAAUACAGGAAGCUGAAGGCU